rnacentral:rRNA from 1 species
GACGAACGCUGGCGGCGUGCUUAACACAUGCAAGUCGAACGGAAAGGCCCUGCUUUUGUGGGGUGCUCGAGUGGCGAACGGGUGAGUAACACGUGAGUAACCUGCCCCUGACUUUGGGAUAACUUCAGGAAACUGGGGCUAAUACCGGAUAGGAGCUCCUGCUGCAUGGUGGGGGUUGGAAAGUUUCGGCGGUGGGGUAUGGACUCGAGGCUUAUCAGCUUGUUGGUGUGGUAGUGGCUUACCAAGGCUAUGAAGGGUAGGCGGCCUGAGAGGGUGACCGGCGACAUUGGUACUGAGAUACGGCGCAGACUCCUACGGGAGGCAGCAGUGGGGAAUAUUGCGCAAUGGGCGGACGCCUGAUGCAGCAGCGCCGCGUGCGUGAUAACGGCCUUCGGGUUGUAAACCGCUUUCGCCUGUGACGAAGCGUGAGUGACGGUAAUGGGUAAAGAAGCACCGGCUAACUACGUG